rnacentral:misc_RNA from 1 species
GUAGCAGCAGCCUUAGAAGGCUGAAAGUUGAGAAGUUUUUGGUCUCUCAAAAGUCCAAUUUAACCGAAGCAAGUUGCAGCAGUUUCAUAGGUCUGAAACUUGCAUUUUCAGCUUAAAAGGGGUCGGAAAAGUAGGCGCCAACAGCAGCAAAACAAGGGGCGGAUUAAGGGUCUGGAAGCCCAUAUUUUAUUCUCUCACUACUUUUUAACUCUGUUUCUUUUAUACGGUAUGUUUGCUAUGAUCUUACAAAUUUUUGUUUAUUUUACCUAACUUAGAUGAAU